GACGAACGCUUGCGGCGUGCUUAACACAUGCAAGUCGAACGGUGAAAGCGGAGCUUGCUCCGCUGGAUCAGUGGCGAACGGGUGAGUAACACGUGGGCAACCUGCCCCUCACUUCGGGAUAACUCCGGGAAACCGGGGCUAAUACCGGAUAUGACCUCCUUGGGCAUCCUUGGAGGUGGAAAGUUUUUCGGUGAGGGAUGGGCCCGCGGCCUAUCAGCUUGUUGGUGAGGUAGUGGCUCACCAAGGCGACGACGGGUAGCCGGCCUGAGAGGGCGACCGGCCACGCUGGGCGUGGGACACGGUCCAGACUCCUCCGGGAGGCAGCGGUGGGGAAUAUUGCGCAAUGGGCGAAAGCCUGACGCAGCAACGCCGCGUGCGGGAUGACGGCCUUCGGGUUGUAAACCGCUUUCAGCAGGGAAGAAGCCGCAAGGUGACGGUACCUGCAGAAGAAGCACCGGCUAACUACGUGCCAGCCGCCGCAGUAA
rnacentral:rRNA from 1 species